rnacentral:tRNA from 1 species
ACUAUUGGUUAAAGUGCUUGGCUGCCAACCAAGAGGUUGGUGGUUUGAACCCACC